rnacentral:lncRNA from 1 species
UUUCAGCACAAAUCUUGGCCAGUUUAUUUUUCAGAAUUCCAUUCUGGCGUUCCACUGCCCCGGCAGACUGCGGAUGGUGGGGGCAGUGAAGGUUGUGUUGGAUUUGCAAAGCUGCACAGAACUCCUUUACAAUCUGUCCAGUAAAAUGAGUUCCACGGUCACUGUUGAGACUCACAGGGAUGCCAAAUCGGGGAACAAAAUCUUUGAGCAGAAGUUUCACAACAGUCCUGGCAUCUGCUUUCCUGCAGGGAAAAGCUUCAACCCAAUGUGAAAAUACAUCCACUAAAACUAACAGCUUUCCCAAUGUUAUGCUAACAAAUCACACCUUGUUGACAGUAGUGAUGUGCAAUGACUGGGAAACCGAAUGCACACCAAUCUCGUUUAAUCGCAGCAACCAUCCCCCUCCUAGAUCCCACUGCAAUGCCUUCCCAGCCUCAGUGAUAUUCAAUACCAUCUCUGUCAGCAAACGUAAACUGAAGCCAGGAGAAGUUGUCACUGUUCAUGACUACGUUUGCUGGGAGGGUAGGGGACAAGGAAGUACCCUGACAGGACACUUACUUUUUCAAGCCAAUGAUAGCUGUGUGUAUGUUAAUGCCACCACAUUGCAAGACAUGCAUUUUAAUCUCACUACCACUGCAGGCAAUCAUAUUAUCUACUGGCCUGCAGAUAGAGUUUUGCAAGUAGCUCUUAGGUUCCAGAUACCCUUUAAUUGGACUAGCUUAGUACCUGAUAGAUUUCAGAAUUUGUUUUCACUGUUACCAGAGGUUCAGAAAAUCUCUGAAGUACAAAGGCAAAUUCACAUGCUUCAAAAUAUAUAUCAAGUUGAAAAGUAUGCCUUUCAGACAGCUUAUAGUACUAAGUAUGAUGUAUUGUGUUUUAUGACUAAGAUUGUACAACAACCCCAUCGUAUUAUCGCUAUGGGAAUGUUAUUGCUUGUGUUGUUGUUAGCUAGUGUAGGAGUGUGUUAUUGUUGUUGUAAAGGACAUAAUAAUAGUAAUACCUUUCAUGUCCAUGCUCAUCAUGCAUUGUCAUUACAUCCAAUCAAAACCCCUAAGGUUGAAGCAUCUGAUGUAGAAUCUGAAUUCCAAGACUUAAUGCAAAUAGAGAUUU